AUUGAACGCUGGCGGCAUGCCUAACACAUGCAAGUCGAGCGGAUGAAGGGAGCUUGCUCCUUGAUUCAGCGGCGGACGGGUGAGUAAUGCCUAGGAAUCUGCCUGGUAGUGGGGGAUAACGUCCGGAAACGGGCGCUAAUACCGCAUACGUCCUGAGGGAGAAAGUGGGGGAUCUUCGGACCUCACGCUAUCAGAGGAGCCUAGGUCGGAUUAGCUAGUUGGUGGGGUAAAGGCCUACCAAGGCGACGAUCCGUAACUGGUCUGAGAGGAUGAUCAGUCACACUGGAACUGAGACACGGUCCAGACUCCUACGGGAGGCAGCAGUGGGGAAUAUUGGACAAUGGGCGAAAGCCUGAUCCAGCCAUGCCGCGUGUGUGAAGAAGGUCUUCGGAUUGUAAAGCACUUUAAGUUGGGAGGAAGGGCAGUAAGUUAAUACCUUGCUGUUUUGACGUUACCAACAGAAUAAGCACCGGCUAACUUCGUG
rnacentral:rRNA from 1 species